rnacentral:rRNA from 1 species
AUAUUGCGCAAUGGAGGGAACUCUGACGCAGCGACGCCGCGUGAGCGAUGAAGGUCUUCGUAUCGUAAAGCUCUGUCCUUGGGGAAGAAGGGAGCCGUAAAGCUUCUUGACGGUACCCAUGCAGGAAGCCCCGGCUAACUACGAGCCAGCAGCCGCGGUAAUACGGAGGGGGCAAGCGUUGUCCGGAAUUAUUGGGAGUAAAGGGUGCGUAGGCGGCCCUUUAAGUCAGAUGUGAAAGCCCACGGCUUAACCGUGGGACUGCAUUUGAAACUGGAGGGCUUGAGUGUCGGGGAGAGCAGUGGAAUUCCCAGUGUAGCGGUGGAAUGCGUAGAUAUUGGGAGGGACACCAGUGGCGAAGGCGACUGCCUGGACGAUAACUGACGCUGAGGCACGAAAGCUAGGGGAGCAAAC